ACCAUGUUGAAUAUACCGGUUCUCGUUAGAUCACCGAAGUUAAGCAUCAUUGGGCGCGGUCAGUACUUGGGUGGGUGACCACCUGGGAACAUUGCGUGCCGUU
rnacentral:rRNA from 1 species